rnacentral:rRNA from 1 species
AUGAGCGUUGGCGGCGUGCCUAACACAUGCAAGUCAAGCGGGCGUUCCCACUUGGAUCUCAGCUUGCUGAGUGAAGAGUGGGGUCAAAACGUCAGCGGCAAACGGCUGAGUGACACGUAGGAACCUACCCUUGACUCAGGAAUAACUUUCCGAAAGGAAGGCUAAUACCGGAUAGUCCCACCGCCUUCGGGUUGGUGGGUAAAGCUACGGCGGUCAAGGAGGGGCCCGCGGCCUAUCAGCUAGUUGGUAGGGUAACAGCCUACCAAGGCGAUGACGGGUAGCUGGUCUGAGAGGACGACCAGCCAGACUGGGACUGAGACACGGCCCAGACUCCUACGGGAGGCAGCAGUGAGGAAUCUUCCGCAAUGGGCGAAAGCCUGACGGAGCGACGCCGCGUGGAGGACUAAGCCCUUCGGGGUGUAAACUUCUUUUCUCUGGGAACAAGUUCUGAGCGUACCAGAGGAAUAAGUCGUUGCCAACCACGUGCCAGCAGCAGCGGUAAGACGUGGACGACGAACGCUAUCCGGAAUUACUGGGCGUAGAGCGUCUGUAGCCGGACGGUUAAGUGAGGUGUAAAAGGCAUGGGCUUAACCCAUGUUUCGCAUCUCAAACUGGCCGCCUAGAGGGACUGAGAGGCAAGCGGAAUUCCCGGAGGAGGGGUAAUAUCCGUAGAUCCUGGGAGGAACACCAAUAGCGAAGGCAGCUUGCUGGUGGUCCCCUGACGGUGAGAGACGAAAGCGUGGGGAGCAAACCGGAUUAGAUACCCGGGUAGUCCACGCCGUAAACGAUGGAUACUAGGCGUUGGGAGGAGUCGAUCCCUUCCAGUGCCGAAGCUAACGCAUUAAGUAUCCCGCCUGGGGAGUACGGCCGCAAGGCUAAAACUCAAAGGAAUAGACGGGGACCCACACAAGCGGUGGAGCAUGUGGGUUAAUUCGACAGUAAACGAAGCACCUUACCUGGACUUGACAUCCUGCGGAUCCUCUGGAAACAGGGGAGUGCCUUCGGGAACGCAGUGACAGGUGCUGCAUGGUCGUCGUCAGCUCGUGUCGUGAGAUGUACGGUUCAGUCCGGCAACGAGCGCAACCCUCGCCACUAGUUGUACUUUUCUAGUGGGACUGCCUCGCACAACGGGGAGGAAGGUGAGGAUGACGUCAGAUCAGCAUGGCUCUUACGUCCAGGGCACCACACGUGCUACAAUGGCCGGUACAGAGGGUAGCCAACCAGUAAGGGGGAGCCAAUCCCAAAAAGCCGGUCCCAGUUCAGAUUGAGGGCUGCAACUCGCCCUCAUGAAGGAGGAAUCGCUAGUAACCGUGGGUCAGCGAUACCACGGUGAAUAUGUUCCUGGGUCUUGCACUCACCGC